rnacentral:rRNA from 1 species
UACGUAGGGCGCAAGCGUUGUCCGGAAUUAUUGGGCGUAAAGAGCUCGUAGGCGGCUUGUCACGUCGGGUGUGAAAGCCCGGGGCUUAACCCCGGGUCUGCAUUCGAUACGGGCUGGCUGGAGUGUGGUAGGGGAGGAACGGAAUUCCCGGUGUAGCGGUGGAAAUGACGGCAGAUAUCGGGAGGAACACCGGUGGCGAAGGCGGUUCUCUGGGCCUUACCUGACGCUGAGGAGCGAAAGCAUGGGGAGCGAACAGG